GGAACACCUGAUGAAGGCUAGUCCAAUUUCACAGCCGCUAACUUCUGGCUUUCACGGUAUUCAUGGCCUCCGAAGGACCCGGUCUACAUUGACUGGAGUGGAUACAUCUCCUGAAUUUGGACACAGCUUGAGUUUUUUUCAUCGGAUAAUUUCCGCUAAAAUACCAGCUGCGUCUUUCAAACAAAGACUAAGGAUGACAGAGCACCUCUUGGCUUGUGAUAGAGCGCAACGGGGCCCAUGCAGUUUCCAUCAGAACAUCAAGUGACGUAUGGCUGGACAACAGGACAUUCUGGAUUGUUAGUUGAUCAUUAUUGUUUCUCUGUCAGCUGUUAAUGAAUGACUG